UACAGAGGUCUCAAGCGUUGUUCGGAUUCAUUGGGCGUAAAGGGCGCGUAGGCGGCGUGGUAAGUCGGGUGUGAAAUCUCGGAGCUCAACUCCGAAACUGCAUUCGAUACUGCCGUGCUUGAGGACUGGAGAGGAGACUGGAAUUUACGGUGUAGCGGUGAAAUGCGCAGAUAUCGGGAGGAACACCAGUAGCGAAGGCGGCUCCCUGGGCCAUUACUGACGCUGAGACGCGAAAGCGUGGGGAGCAAACAGG
rnacentral:rRNA from 1 species